GCGGCCUCCCUCCCGCCGCUUACCAAUCCUUGUCACUAGUGGAAAGGCUGGCGAGGGAAAGGUGCACACCGCUAUAGAAGAUCAACAAUCAACAACAGAACCAUUCCCCAGCCUUGUUUAACUGGAUUCCUUCUAAAAGUCCCAACUCUCCCAUGAUGGUUACAAGAAAGAGUGCUGAUGCAUCUUGGACCAGCUAGCAGAAGCCAAUCGUUAAUUUUUUUUUAAUGUGAGCAUCCACACCUCAGAAAUCAAGAAAUGCUACAUAUCAGGGCUUGGUUUACUAAGUUUUUGUUGAUUGUCUAGACUCAAC